rnacentral:lncRNA from 1 species
AGCAAGUGAGCUUUGUUCUCUGUAGAAUUCUAAAGACUCCAUGCUAAUUUUAAGCAAAGAGAAAUGGUCUUUUUGAUUACUUUUAUGACUUUUGACUAUCUAAGGCCAGUCCUUUAGAUAUUUAGUUUUGAACGUGUCAAAUAGAUGGCGUGAAAGAAUGUUGUUUGUUGUGUCAGAUAUGGGCUUAUGGCCGCUCGUUGCCAAAAGUUUAGCUACAGCUAUUUUCUUCGAAAAUUACCAAUGAAUUCGCUGGAGAAAAUGUGAAAGGUGCAUGAAGCCUGUACUGUCUUGUAUUGUGUUAAAAAUCCUGGUAUCCUACUGAAUAUGUCAUCCAAAUGACAAAGUGGAUUCAUCACUAUUAUCGGCUGAAUCAUUCUAUGGGACUUGCCAGAUCACCAACCCCAUCACGGAUCAAUCUCUCAUUCCAUCUUGUAGAGAACCUUGGAUAACUGAUUGGUGGUUUAGUGUGUUCUUCGGUUUCUAAUGUUGCAUGAUAGACUUUAUGAGAAGUCAUGUCCAUUGAACAAAAAGGACAAUGACUAUACAGUACCUGUUGGCUGCUACCCUUUAAUAUCCCCUUUUACUUCAUGAAAAUGUAAGCAGGCCCUCUUGAUUUGAGGAUAACUUCUUCGCUACUUAUCAUGGAUUUCAUCCAUUGGUGAAAGCCAAUGACAACCAGGAGGAAAAGAGUGUGCUGGUCGAAUGGGGACUUGCAAGCUUAAGUCGGAAGCCAUAAGGAUAUGAUUAAUCGUUCUCGUAAUAACUGUUCCUCAACUCUUCGCUCUUUUUCCGGUUUCUCCUACCAUCUCCCUGUCUGCAGUCAAUUAAGGCAGUCUCCCCCUGUCUUGAUUGACUCCAUGUGCGAGUUUUUAAAGCAAUUUAUCUCCCAAAUAACACAAAAGAAGUUGGUUAGGUUUGUUUUAUUUGGGUAUAAACUGUUUUAUAACUUGUACUAAUAAUCAAAUGCCUUGUACCGGACGCUCUGUUUAUUAAAUUUUUGAUAAUUUUGGGAAAUAUUAAUCAAAUGUAUUUAAGUUAA